rnacentral:misc_RNA from 1 species
AGAUUGAAAACGUAGGAAAGAAUUCUGAGCAUCAUGAGGCAUACGUUUGGUCGUAUCCAUCUUAUGAAUUCUCAUACGAAGUAUCGGAUCCACAUACGCAUGAUUUUAAAGGACACCAUGAAACAAGAAAAGGCGAUGACGUAAAAGGAUACUACUGGCUUAUUCAACCUGAUGGUUUGAAGCGCACAGUCAAGUAUCACGCUGACAAAAAUAGCGGACUUGAAGCACACGUUGAUUAUGAAA